rnacentral:rRNA from 1 species
AGUGAACGCUGGCGGUAGGCCUAACACAUGCAAGUCGAACGGCAGCACAGUAAGAGCUUGCUCUUACGGGUGGCGAGUGGCGGACGGGUGCGGAAUACAUCGGAAUCUACUUUUUCGUGGGGGAUAACGUAGGGAAACUUACGCUAAUACCGCAUACGACCUACGGGUGAAAGCAGGGGAUCUUCGGACCUUGCGCGAUUGAAUGAGCCGAUGUCGGAUUAGCUAGUUGGCGGGGUAAAGGCCCACCAAGGCGACGAUCCGUAGCUGGUCUGAGAGGAUGAUCAGCCACACGGGAACUGAGACGCGGUCCAGACUCCGACGGGAGGCAGCAGUGGGGAAUAUUGGACAAUGGGCGCAAGCCUGAUCCAGCCAUACCGCGUGGGUGAAGAAGGCCUUCGGGUUGUAGAGCCCUUUUGUUGGGAAAGAAAAGCAGCAGGUGAAUACCCCGCUGUUCUGACGGUACCCAAAGAAUAAGCACCGGCUAACUUCGUG